rnacentral:piRNA from 1 species
UAGCACAUGUGGUUAAGCUAUAGCACAUC